rnacentral:rRNA from 1 species
GAUGAACGCUGGCGGCGUGCCUAAUACAUGCAAGUCGAGCGAAUGGAUUAAGAGCUUGCUCUUAUGAAGUUAGCGGCGGACGGGUGAGUAACACGUGGGUAACCUGCCCAUAAGACUGGGAUAACUACGGGAAACCGGGGCUAAUACCGGAUAAUAUUUUGAACUGCAUGGUUCAAAAUUGAAAGGCGGCUUCGGCUGUCACUUAUGGAUGGACCCGCGUCGCAUUAGCUAGUUGGUGAGGUAACGGCUCACCAAGGCAACGAUGCGUAGCCGACCUGAGAGGGUGAUCGGCCACACUGGGACUGAGACACGGCCCAGACUCCUACGGGAGGCAGCAGUAGGGAAUCUUCCGCAAUGGACGAAAGUCUGACGGAGCAACGCCGCGUGAGUGAUGAAGGCUUUCGGGUCGUAAAACUCUGUUGUUAGGGAAGAACAAGUGCUAGUAGAAUAAGCUGGCACCUUGACGGUACCUAACCAGAAAGCCACGGCUAACUACGUGCCAGCAGCCGCAGUAA